rnacentral:snoRNA from 1 species
AUGAUGACUCAUUAAUUUCUGUGAAUCGUCGUGUGCGCUGACAAUUGAUAGGUCAGUCUGAGA